GUUUGAUCAUUGGCUCAGAUUGAACGCUGGCGGCAGGCUAACACAUGCAAGUCGAGCGGCGAGAAAGUAGCUUGCUAUUUGCCGGCGAGCGCGGGACGGGUGAGUAAUGUCUGGGAAACUGCCUGAUGGAGGGGGAUAACUACUGGAAACGGUAGCUAAUACCGCAUGACCUCGAAAGAGCAAAGUGGGGGAUCUUCGGACCUCACGCCAUCGGAUGUGCCCAGAUGGGAUUAGCUAGUAGGUGAGGUAAUGGCUCACCUAGGCGACGAUCCCUAGCUGGUCUGAGAGGAUGACCAGCCACACUGGAACUGAGACACGGUCCAGACUCCUACGGGAGGCAGCAGUGGGGAAUAUUGCACAAUGGGCGCAACGUAAUGCAGCCAUGCCGCGUGUGUGAAGAAGGCCUUAGGGUUGUAAAGCACUUUCAGCGAGGAGGAAGGCAUCACACUUAAUACGUGUGGUGAUUGACGUUACUCGCAGAAGAAGCACCGGCUAACUCCGUGCCAGCAGCCGCGUAAUACGGAGGGUGCAAGCGUUAAUCGGAAUUACUGGGCGUAAAGCGCACGCAGGCGGUUUGUUAAGUCAGAUGUGAAAUCCCCGCGCUUAACGUGGGAACUGCAUUUGAAACUGGCAAGCUAGAGUCUUGUAGAGGGGGGUAGAAUUCCAGGUGUAGCGGUGAAAUGCGUAGAGAUCUGGAGGAAUACCGGUGGCGAAGGCGGCCCCCUGGACAAAGACUGACGCUCAGGUGCGAAACGUGGGGAGCAAACAGGGAUUAGAUACCUGGUAGUCUACGCUGUAAAACGAUGUCGACUUGGAGGUUGUGCCCUUGAGGCGUGGCUUCCGGAGCU
rnacentral:rRNA from 1 species